rnacentral:rRNA from 1 species
CCUACGGGAGGCUGCAGUGGGGGAUAUUGCACAAUGGGGGAAACCCUGAUGCAGCGACGCCGCGUGGGUGAAGAAGUAUUUCGGUAUGUAAAGCCCUAUCAGCAGGGAAGAAAGAAGACGGUACCUGACUAAGAAGCCCCGGCUAACUACGUGCCAGCAGGCGCGGUAAUCCGUAGGGGGCGAGCGUUCUCCGUAUUCAAUGGGUGUAAUGGGAGCGUAGACGGCCGUGCAAGCCAGGAGUGAAAGCCCGGGGCCCAACCCCGGGGUGGGUCUUGGAACUGUGCGGCUAGAGUGCGGGAGGGGCAGGCGGAGUUCCUGGUGUAGCGGUGAAAUGCGUGGAUAGCAGGAGGAACACCGGCGGCGAAGGCGGCCUGCUGGACCGCGACUGACGUUGAGGCUCGAAAGCGUGGGGAGCGAACAGGAUUAGAUACCCGGGUAGUC